AAUAGAUACCCCGGUAGUCCACGCCGUAAACGAUGAGUGCUAAGUGUUAGAGGGUUUCCGCCCUUUAGUGCUGCAGCUAACGCAUUAAGCACUCCGCCUGGGGAGUACGGUCGCAAGACUGAAACUCAAAGGAAUUGACGGGGGCCCGCACAAGCGGUGGAGCAUGUGGUUUAAUUCGAAGCAACGCGAAGAACCUUACCAGGUCUUGACAUCCUCUGACAACUCUAGAGAUAGAGCGUUCCCCUUCGGGGGACAGAGUGACAGGUGGUGCAUGGUUGUCGUCAGCUCGUGUCGUGAGAUGUUGGGUUAAGUCCCGCAACGAGCGCAACCCUUGAUCUUAGUUGCCAGCAUUUAGUUGGGCACUCUAAGGUGACUGCCGGUGAUAAACCGGAGGAAGGUGGGGAUGACGUCAAGUCCUCAUGGCCCUUAUGGGCUGGGCUACACACGUGCUACAAUGGGGCGUACAAAGGGCUGCCACUUAGCGAUAAGGAGCCAAUCCCAAAAAACGUCUCUCAGUUCAGAUCGCAGU
rnacentral:rRNA from 1 species